CUCAAUUUUUCCAAGAAAAUGCUUCUAAACACUCCCACUUGUACACACACCUUCACCACCAUAAAUCACCAUCACACCAUCAGUGCUCCAGUUUUGCCCAAAACCCUAUUUCCCAUUUUUGGUAGAAAAAUCAAGGGGUUUUCAUCAAAUUGGAGAUUUAUAUCCGACUCAACAGCUGGGACUGGAAGAAGAUCAAGCAUCAAAAGCUCAUUGAUUGAGGCACCUG
rnacentral:lncRNA from 1 species